UAUCAACUUUCGAUGGUAGGAUAGAGGCCUACCAUGGUGGUAACGGGUAACGGGGUGUUAGGGCACGACACCGGAGGGGGAGCCUGAGAGACGGCUACCACAUCCAAGGAUGGCAGCAGGCGCGCAAAUUACCCAAUCCCGACACGGGGAGGUAGUGACAAUAAAUAACAAUACGGGGUCCUUUCGGGUUUCGUAAUUGGAAUGAGUACAAUUUAAAUCUCUUAACGAGGAACAAUUGGAGGGCAAGUCUGGUGCCAGCAGCCGCGGUAAUUCCAGCUCCAAUAGCGUAUAUUAAAGUUGUUGCAGUUAAAAAGCUCGUAGUUGAAUUUCGGGAUUAGUACGCUGGUCGUGCCUUCGGUACGUACUGGUGUUACUGAUUCCUACCUUCUGACGAACCGUCAUGUCAUUAAUUUGAUGUGGCGGGAAAUCAGGGCUGUUACUUUGAAAAAAUUAGAGUGUUUAAAGCAGGCUCGCGCUUGAAUACAUUAGCAUGGAAUAAUGAAAUAGGACGUUCGAUCCUAUUUUGUUGGUUUCUAGGAUUGACGUAAUGAUUAAUAGGGAUAGUUGGGGGCAUUAGUAUUCAAUUGUCAGAGGUGGAAUUCUUGGAUUUAUUGAAGACUAACUACUGCGAAAGCAUUUGCCAAGGAUGUUUUCAUUAAUCAAGAACGAAAGUUAGGGGAUCGAAGACGAUCAGAUACCGUCGUAGUCUUAACCAUAAACUAUGCCGACUAGGGAUCGGAUGAUGUUAUUUUUAAUGACUCAUUCGGCGCCUUACGGGAAACCAAAGUGUUUGGGUUC
rnacentral:rRNA from 1 species